UCUUGCACUGCCAUCUUCUUGUAAAUGAAACUGUUUAUUUCAUAUUACUUGCUUGGAUUUUUCAUAUGAAUGGUAAUGGGAUUGAUUAUUUUGCAUGCAAUUGGUGUCCAAAUGGCCAUUUAGUAUCUGCACUAGAAGAUGUAGGAGGUCUGAUUUAACAUCCAAAGCCCUCAUUGCUCUGUUCAAAUCAAAUUUUUAGACUUAUGGCACUGUUCAUUGUUCCAAGGAUAAACCUGUUUUAUCAUUUAAAUUGAUCAACUUACUAAAGAAUUUCACAAUAUGUCCUUCAGUUACACCAAUAAUGGUAUACUUUUGUAGUGAGUUAUCCUAGUUUUUCUAUUUAUCAACAACCAGUAAUGGUUAUAUGUACAAAACACUUGAUUAGUAGUAAUAGUUGCAUCAACACUGUACUGCUGUAUAAAUAAUCUCAUUAAGAGCUUGUUAUGGUUAUAUUUCAGAUUUGCUACAUAUAUAGUGCUUGAUGAUAGUAUUGAUGAAGUUGGAUUCCCUGCUUUUACAUCUUUCUAUAUCAUCUGAAGUAAAUAGUUCACUCUCUAAAUUUUUUGCAACUCUUGAUAGUUAAACUUAAUUAUGUAUGGGGACUUCUCUACUUUUGCCUGAACUCAUUUUUCUCUCCCCGAUAACCGUUCCCCAGCGCCGGCUUUGUUUCUCUAAGCAUUCUUUGUGUAGAAGUCGGAGGCACAGUCUUGCUGUUCGGACUCGAAUUAGGGCUGUGAAUGAGGAAGGUGUGGCAGUGGGAGGGAAAGGCGAGUGAUCAAGGAAUUGAAUGGGAAUGGAGCUGCUGGUGGUUUGAGUUCGAGGUAUGGCGUGUACUCGAAUGGCGGUGUGGGUGUGUCUGAGAGUGAGAAUGGGAGCUUGGUGAAGUAUGUGAACGGGAAUGGUGUGGCGGCGGCGGAGGUGGUGGCGGAAGUUGAAGAUCCUGUGGCGAAGGAGGUGGGGAGGAAGAGAAGGGUAGAGGAGAUUGGGAAAGAAGACGCCCGGUUCAAGCGAGCUGAGGGAGAAUCCGUUGAGGUUAAUGAGAGUGAGUCUGAAGACUAUUUGGACAAAUGGGUGCUGUAAUGGAGUCUGAAGACUAAUACACUAAUGGUGCAACGGCCUUUGAUUGGAUACCCAUUGAUAACGAGAACCACUUUUGUGGUGCAUGUAAUGGUGGAAAUGUGUACUAUAAACGGCUGCCAUGAAGAUUUGUAUUAGUUUUUUUUUAAUUUGUAAUGCAAAUGUGGAGUUGUGUUGAAAAUGUGUAUUCCAAACGUUUAAUUUCUAAUGCAAAUGUUUAAUUUUGAAAUGUGUA